rnacentral:tRNA from 1 species
GCCUGGGUGGUUCAGUCGGUUGGGCGUCUGACUUUGGCUCAGGUCAUGAUCUCACAGUUCGUGAGUUCGAGCCCCACAUCGGGCU